UACGUAGGGCGCAAGCGUUGUCCGGAAUUAUUGGGCGUAAAGAGCUCGUAGGCGGCCUGUUGCGUCCGCUGUGAAAUCCCGGGGCUCAACCCCGGGCCUGCAGUGGAUACGGGCUGGCUAGAGGCAGGCAGGGGAGAACGGAAUUCCUGGUGUAGCGGUGAAAUGCGCAGAUAUCAGGAAGAACACCCGUGGCUAAGGCGGCUCUCUAGUACGGUACCGACGCUGAGACGCGAAAGCGUGGGGAGCGAACAGG
rnacentral:rRNA from 1 species